rnacentral:rRNA from 1 species
GGAAAGGAACACGUACGGUCGGACGGACGGACGGCCUGUCGAUGGACCAUAACUGACACUCAGGGACGAAAGCUAGGGGAGCGAAUGGGAUUAGAUACCCCAGUAGUCCUAGCCGUAAACGAUGGAUACUAGGUGUUGUCUGUAUCGACCCGGACAGUGCCGUAGCUAACGCAUUAAGUAUCCCACCUGGGGAGUACGCCGGCAACGGUGAAACUCAAAGGAAUUGACGGGGGCCCGCACAAGCGGAGGAACAUGUGGUUUAAUUCGAUGAUACGCGAGGAACCUUACCCGGGCUUAAAUUGCAGACGAAUUACUUGGAAACAGGUAAGCCGCAAGGCGUCUGUGAAGGUGCUGCAUGGUUGUCGUCAGCUCGUGCCGUGAGGUGUCGGCUUAAGUGCCAUAACGAGCGCAACCCUCGUGGUCAGUUACUAACAGGUUAAGCUGAGGACUCUGGCCAGACUGCCAUCGUAAGAUGUGAGGAAGGUGGGGAUGACGUCAAAUCAGCACGGCCCUUACGUCCGGGGCUACACACGUGUUACAAUGGGAGGUACAGAAG